AUUGAACGCUGGCGGCACGCCUAACACAUGCAAGUCGAGCGGCAGCGCGAUAUGUAGCAAUACAUAUUGGCGGCGAGCGGCGGACGGGUGAGGAACACGUAGGAACAUACCCUCGAGUGGGGGGUAACCAAGGGAAACUUUGGCUAAUACCGCAUGAACUCGAGAGAGCAAAGCUGCCGCAAGGUGGCGCUCGAGGAGGGGCCUGCGUCCGAUUAGCUAGUUGGCGAGGUAAGAGCUCACCAAGGCGAUGAUCGGUAACUGGUCUGAGAGGACGACCAGUCACACUGGGAAUGAGACACGGCCCAGACUCCUACGGGAGGCAGCAGUGGGGAAUAUUGGACAAGGGGGGCAACCCUGAUCCAGCGAUGCCGCGUGAGUGAAGAAGGCCUUCGGGUCGUAAAGCUCUUUAGGUUGGGAAGAAGGGUGAUGGAGGAAAUGCUAUCACUUUGACGGUACCGACAGAAUAAGCACCGGCAAACUCUGUGCCAGCCGCCGCGGUAACAC
rnacentral:rRNA from 1 species